AAGAUCUCUCAAAAUAGCCCUUCCAAGGUCCCUCAAUGUCCAGGGGAAGGGGUAUAGAUAGGCCUUUGGGGAGUUAAUUAGAGGUUCCCAUAGUUUUGGGUGACUUGGGCUGCAAGAUUUAUGCAAAAUGUAACCCCAUGCUACCUCAGACUUAUCGCCAUUUUUGUUUUCUUCGAUAGUCAGCGGAGAAUGCCUGAAUAUGGCUUCUAUUUUGGCAUCAUUUGGCUGAGUGUUGGACUCCAAUGAACCACCCACUUAUGUUUUUAGUUUGUUGGGGGUCAAGUAAGCUUCAAUUUAUAUUAAAUCCCACCAAAAAGCACUUUAUAUCUUUGGAGAAACAAAUCAAUUAGUCACCUCAUAUCUUGGGAGAAACAAAUUGAUCAGUCCACAGUGUACAUUGGGUAGCAGUGUGCAACUAUUUUAGAAGAUACCCCCUUUUGAUCUUUGGUUGGCUUUAAUAUCUUGAAAUUGUUUAUUCUCAACUCUUGUAUUUGAUUGAGUGAAGAUUCAGGGCACCCUCCUUCAACUUAGAAGGACUUUGGGACUAGGAAAAGUGGGCUUUAGAAGUUUAGGUGCUUAAUGCAAUCUGCUAUAGAGGGUAGACACUUAAUGGUUAACCUCCUGCACUAACAGUUGUUCAAGCUUUGAUCUUUUGAAAAUGUAGCCAAAAAUCCAAAUGGCUUGAAAUUUGGAGGAUAAUCAUGAAAUUUCAUAAAUUAAAAUUCCACCAAUUUUCAUUGUCAUGGGAGACCCCUUCGUAUGAUCUCCUUCAUAGGUGCCCUUCAUGGAGUAGUAUUGGCUUCCCAGAAAAGGUCCCUAGGAGAUGGUAGCGUCAUUUGUCCAAGUUCUUGUUCUAUUUUGGGAGGGCAUUAUUUGCACUUAUCUGGGGUUUAUUUGAGUGUUGUGAUGGGCCUCCAAGGGUUUUAUUUACUAUGGGAGGGCUUUGUUUCCACUUAUUCUGAUGUCACUUGAUGGACAUUUGAGGGUUUUGUAUAGCUCUCAAUAACCUGAUUCAGACAGGCAGAUGCAUUUCAUCCUUUAGGUUUGAUGCCAGGUUUUGACAAUGUGAAAAUUUUCAACUCCAGGGCUUGAAAUCAGGUUCAGAUAUACAAGUGCUUUUCAUCAUCAAGGCUUGCUGCUAGGUUGAAGGAAGUAGAUGCUUUUCAUCUUUAGGGCUUGAUAACAGGUUCGAUGACGUGGGAAUAUUCAACUCCAUGGCUUAUUCCAGGCCCGAAAGCUUUUCAUCAUCAAGGUUUGAUGCUAGGGUCGAGGUGGGGAAAUAUGCAUCUCCAAGG
rnacentral:lncRNA from 1 species